rnacentral:rRNA from 1 species
UACGUAGGGGGCAAGCGUUGUCCGGAAUCAUUGGGCGUAAAGAGCGCGUAGGCGGCCCGGUAAGUCCGCCGUGAAAGUCCAGGGCUCAACCCUGGGAUGCCGGUGGAAACUGUCGGGCUCGAGUCCGGAAGAGGCGAGUGGAAUUCCUGGUGUAGCGGUGAAAUGCGCAGAUAUCAGGAGGAACACCAAUAGCGAAGGCAGCUCGCUGGGACGGUACUGACGCUGAGACGCGAAAGCGUGGGGAGCGAACAGG